CAAUAGCGUAUAUUAAAGUUGUUGCGGUUAGAAAGCUCGUAGUUGGAUUUCUGCUGAGAACGACCGGUCCGCCCUUUGGGUGUGUAUCUGGCUCUUUCUUGGCAUCUUCUUGGUGAACGUUGCUGCACUUGACUGUGUGGAGCGCUACCCAGGACUUUUACUUUGAGGAAAUUAGAGUGUUUCAAGCAGGCAUACGCCUUGAAUACAUUAGCAUGGAAUAAUAAGAUAGGACCUCGGUUCUAUUUUGUUGGUUUCUAGAGCUGAGGUAAUGAUUAAUAGGGAUAGUUGGGGGCAUUCGUAUUUAACUGUCAGAGGUGAAAUUCUUGGAUUUGUUAAAGACGGACUACUGCGAAANCANNNGCCAAGGAUGUUUUCAUNGA
rnacentral:rRNA from 1 species